rnacentral:rRNA from 1 species
GCCAGAGGGGGCAAGCGUUAUCCGGAAUUAUUGGGCGUAAAGCGUGCGCAGGUGGGUUGACAAGUCUGAGGUUAAAGCUCGGAGCGUAACCCCGGAAUUGCCUUUGAAACUGUGAGCCUUGAGUAAGGGAGGGGGUGAUGGAAUUCCAGGUGUAGCGGUGAAAUGCGUAGAUAUCGGGAAGAACACCGGCGGCGAAAGCGGGCAACUGGGCCAUUACUGACGCUCAGGCACGAAAGCGAGGGGAGAGAAUAGG